CUUGUACUCCCUCCGUCCGAAAAUACUUGUCAUUGAAAUGGAUGUAUCUAGAUGUAUUUUAGUUCUAGACACAUCCAUUUUGAUGACAAGUGAUUCCGGACGGAGGGAGUACUUG
rnacentral:pre_miRNA from 1 species